rnacentral:rRNA from 1 species
UAGGGAAUCUUCGGCAAUGGACGAAAGUCUGACCGAGCAACGCCGCGUGAGUGAAGAAGGUUUUCGGAUCGUAAAACUCUGUUGUUAGAGAAGAACAAGGACGUUAGUAACUGAACGUCCCCUGACGGUAUCUAACCAGAAAGCCACGGCUAACUACGUGCCAGCAGCCGCGGUAAUACGUAGGUGGCAAGCGUUGUCCGGAUUUAUUGGGCGUAAAGCGAGCGCAGGCGGUUUCUUAAGUCUGAUGUGAAAGCCCCCGGCUCAACCGGGGGGGGUCAUUGGAAACUGGGAGACUUGAGUGCAGAAGAAGAGAGUGGAAUUCCAUGUGUAGCGGUGAAAUGCGUAGAUAUAUGGAGGAACACCAGUGGCGAAGGCGGCUCUCUGGUCUGUAACUGACGCUGAGGCUCGAAAGCGUGGGGAGCAAACAGG